rnacentral:rRNA from 1 species
UUUUUCCUACGGGGGGCAGCAGUGGGGGAUAUUGCACAAUGGGGGAAACCCUGAUGCAGCGACGCCGCGUGUGGGAAGGCGGUCCUCUGGAUUGUAAACCACUGUCCCCAGGGACGAAAAUGACGGUACCUGGGGAGGAAGCUCCGGCUAACUACGUGCCAGCAGCCGCGGUAAUACGUAGGGGGCAAGCGUUAUCCGGAUUUACUGGGUGUAAAGGGAGCGUAGGCGGUUUAGCAAGUCAGAAGUGAAAGCCCGGGGCUCAACUCCGGGACUGCUUUUGAAACUGUUGAACUAGAUUGCAGGAG